rnacentral:lncRNA from 1 species
UCAGGGUUGACUGGUCAACAGAUUGGCCUUGUUUGGAAAUAUAAGCUCCAGCCCAUCAUAAAAUGAGCUCCUACUACAGAAGAAGACAGUAAGCGAACCAUAAAUUGACACGUACUGCUUCAAUAAGAGCACAAUCUGAGCCUACCUCAAGUUCACGUACGUGGAAGGUUGUCAACCAGUUCACAGGUUCGUUUGGCACAUGGAGACCAUGACUGAUGGUGGGGGCA